UAAGGAAUAUUGGUCAAUGGACGCAAGUCUGAACCAGCCAUGCCGCGUGGAGGAUUAAGGCCCUCUGGGUUGUAAACUCCUUUUAUCUGGGAAGAAAUGUACUUUUUCUUGAGUACUUGACGGUACCAGAGGAAUAAGCACCGGCUAACUCCGUGCCAGCAGCCGCGGUAAUACGGAGGGUGCAAGCGUUAUCCGGAUUCACUGGGUUUAAAGGGUGCGUAGGUGGGCAGGUAAGUCAGUGGUGAAAUCUCCGGGCUUAACCCGGAAACUGCCGUUGAUACUAUUUGUCUUGAAUAUUGUGGAGGUAAGCGGAAUAUGUCAUGUAGCGGUGAAAUGCUUAGAUAUGACAUAGAACACCAAUUGCGAAGGCAGCUUGCUACACAAUCAUUGACGCUGAGGCACGAAAGCGUGGGGAUCAAACA
rnacentral:rRNA from 1 species